rnacentral:rRNA from 1 species
AGCAGUCGCCGCGGUAAUGCGAAGGGGGCUAGCGUUGUUCGGAAUCACUGGGCGUAAAGCGCACGUAGGCGGACACUUAAGUCAGAGGUGAAAUCCCAAGGCUCAACCUUGGAACUGCCUUUGAUACUGGGUGUCUUGAGUUCGGGAGAGGUGAGUGGAACUGCGAGUGUAGAGGUGAAAUUCGUAGAUAUUCGCAAGAACACCAGUGGCGAAGGCGGCUCACUGGCCCGAUACUGACGCUGAGGUGCGAAAGCGUGGGGAGCAAACAGGAUUAGAUACCCCUGUAGUCCCUGUCUCUUAUAC